rnacentral:tRNA from 1 species
UGCCGUGGCUCGCCGAGCGCGGCAGCCGGGUGCACCUCACCGGGAUCGGCGGCGACCACGUCGCAUGGUGCUCG